AUGCCGCGCCUCUACGCUUCUCCGCCCCACUCCGCGACGCCUCGCUGCUCCGCGCCGCCGUCCUGCUACCCGGCGCCGAUCCGCUCCACCGCGCGGCCGCAUUCCAUGCCGCCGCUCCGCCCCACGGCCCUCUUCUGCCGGAAUCCAAGGGUUUCAGGAGUCCAGAUUGCUACAGCGUCAGAGGCCCAGCAGAUACGGUCGAGUUCUGGAAUCAUAGCAAUGAAGAGGCCCAACAUGUUGCAAAGUUUCAGAGCUUUCAGUUCCACUGGACCAGAUGCUCCCACUGGACCAGAUGCUCCCGUCGUUAAGCAGUUGAUGUUUAACGAUGAUUACGAGAUUAAAAACGAAGUACUCACUUGCUUGAAGGAGUCUUUAAUCUCUGGUAGUAUUCUGAAGCCUACUCGUCAAGGUGGACUGCUCACACCUGACCACAUGCAAAUAUUUGGUGAUUCUGUUCUCGGGGAUGUGGGCUUUGGAAUUCUCAAGCACGGAUGCUAUCUAGCCACUGUGAAUUUGAUGCGUGGAGUCAAUGUUAGUCCGUUGCUAAGGUUGGACAACCUUCUCUGGUCAGCAAAGCAUGGAGGUAUCAUGUUUGACAAGAUCUCUUUGAAGGCUGGAGAGCAAGGACAGCCCUUGAAGGCUGGAGAGCAAGGUUGCCCAUAUAUGGCUGUCGGCACAUUAUUCCUCGAAUGCUUAGAAGUGUCCACUGGUCUGAAGUCAGAGGAGAUCCGAAUACCAUGGGAUGUGAACCAUCUCCUAGGCUAUCUUGCAGAAGCCGGGAAAAUGGAUAAGAGACUUACUACCAAUCACUCUGCUAUAAGACUCCCAGGCGAACGCGUAGUGAGGAACUGCAAUGCAUAUCGCUUCCUCCGUCACCAAGUCGAAUACGAGGUUAAGAAAGGUCCAGGACAUUAUCAAGAGCACAGAAGAUAUUCUGGAAAUCAACAAUUGCAGAACCUUGCGAACAAUGUGCAUCGUGACCUUGCUUCAAAAUUGCCGCUCGAGUUAUUUCAACCUGCAGGGCUGCAUCCUUUUGUUGAUUAUUGGGCACGUGAGGGUCAAGCUAUGCGUGGACUUGGCAGCCGGAUGUCAAAAUGUCCCCUGACCAUACCAUCUGGACCAUAUGGUACUGAGCUUGAUAACGUCACCCUGGGUAUUGAAGUCGGGGAAAAUGUCUAUAGCCCUUCACAGAGAUCCAUUUGA
rnacentral:rRNA from 1 species